CCUACGGGUGGCAGCAGUGAGGAAUAUUGGUCAAUGGGCGCGAGCCUGAACCAGCCAAGUCGCGUGAGGGAUGAAGGCCCUAUGGAUCGUAAACCUCUUUUAUAAGGGAAUAAAGUGUGGGACGUGUCCUCUUUUGUAUGUACCUUAUGAAUAAGGAUCGGCUAACUCCGUGCCAGCAGCCGCGGUAAUACGGAGGAUCCGAGCGUUAUCCGGAUUUAUUGGGUUUAAAGGGUGCGUAGGCGGCUUUUUAAGUCAGCUGUGAAAGUCUGUGGCUCAACCAUAGAAUUGCCGUUGAAACUGGCAGGCUUGAGUACGGUUGAGGUAGGCGGAAUGCGUGGUGUAGCGGUGAAAUGCUUAGAUAUCACGCAGAACCCCGAUUGCGAAGGCAGCUUGCCAAGCCGUGACUGACGCUGAUGCACGAAAGCGUGGGGAUCAAACAGGAUUAGAUACCCGAGUAGUC
rnacentral:rRNA from 1 species